rnacentral:rRNA from 1 species
GAUGAACGCUGGCGGCGUGCCUAAUACAUGCAAGUCGAGCGAACAGACGAGGAGCUUGCUCCUCUGACGUUAGCGGCGGACGGGUGAGUAACACGUGGAUAACCUACCUAUAAGACUGGGAUAACUUCGGGAAACCGGAGCUAAUACCGGAUAAUAUAUUGAACCGCAUGGUUCAAUAGUGAAAGACGGUUUUGCUGUCACUUAUAGAUGGAUCCGCGCCGCAUUAGCUAGUUGGUAAGGUAACGGCUUACCAAGGCAACGAUGCGUAGCCGACCUGAGAGGGUGAUCGGCCACACUGGAACUGAGACACGGUCCAGACUCCUACGGGAGGCAGCAGUAGGGAAUCUUCCGCAAUGGGCGAAAGCCUGACGGAGCGACGCCGCGUGAGUGAUGAAGGUCUUCGGAUCGUAAAACUCUGUUAUUAGGGAAGAACAAAUGUGUAAGUAACUAUGCACGUCUUGACGGUACCUAAUCAGAAAGCCGCGGCUAACUACGUG